GAUGAACGCCGGCGGCGUGCCUAAUACAUGCAAGUCGAGCGAACGGACGAGAAGCUUGCUUCUCUGAUGUUAGCGGCGGACGGGUGAGUAACACGUGGAUAACCUACCUAUAAGACUGGGAUAACUUCGGGAAGCCGGAGCUAAUACCGGAUAAUAUUUUGAACCGCAUGGUUCAAAAGUGAAAGACGGUCUUGCUGUCACUUAUAGAUGGAUCCGCGCUGCAUUAGCUAGUUGGUAAGGUAACGGCUUACCAAGGCAACGAUGCAUAGCCGACCUGAGAGGGUGAUCGGCCACACUGGAACUGAGACACGGUCCAGACUCCUACGGGAGGCAGCAGUAGGGAAUCUUCCGCAAUGGGCGAAAGCCUGACGGAGCAACGCCGCGUGAGUGAUGAAGGUCUUCGGAUCGUAAAACUCUGUUAUUAGGGAAGAACAUAUGUGUAAGUAACUGUGCACAUCUUGACGGUACCUAAUCAGAAAGCCACGGCUAACUACGUG
rnacentral:rRNA from 1 species